rnacentral:rRNA from 1 species
CUACACAUGCAGUCGAGCGGAACGAGUUAUCUGAACCUUCGGGGGACGAUAACGGCGUCGAGCGGCGGACGGGUGAGUAAUGCCUAGGAAAUUGCCCUGAUGUGGGGGAUAACCAUUGGAAACGAUGGCUAAUACCGCAUGAUGCCUACGGGCCAAAGAGGGGGACCUUCGGGCCUCUCGCGUCAGGAUAUGCCUAGGUGGGAUUAGCUAGUUGGUGAGGUAAGGGCUCACCAAGGCGACGAUCCCUAGCUGGUCUGAGAGGAUGAUCAGCCACACUGGAACUGAGACACGGUCCAGACUCCUACGGGAGGCAGCAGUGGGGAAUAUUGCACAAUGGGCGCAAGCCUGAUGCAGCCAUGCCGCGUGUGUGAAGAAGGCCUUCGGGUUGUAAAGCACUUUCAGUCGUGAGGAAGGUAGUGUAGUUAAUAGCUGCAUUAUUUGACGUUAGCGACAGAAGAAGCACCGGCUAACUCCGUGCCAGCAGCCGCGGUAAUACGGAGGGUGCGAGCGUUAAUCGGAAUUACUGGGCGUAAAGCGCAUGCAGGUGGUUUGUUAAGUCAGAUGUGAAAGCCCGGGGCUCAACCUCGGAAUUGCAUUUGAAACUGGCAGACUAGAGUACUGUAU